rnacentral:rRNA from 1 species
GGACUACUGGGGUUUCUAAUCCUGUUUGCUCCCCACGCUUUCGUGCCUCAGUGUCAGUAUCAGGCCAGGUAGCCGCCUUCGCCACUGGUGUUCCUUCCGAUCUCUACGCAUUUCACCGCUACACCGGAAAUUCCACUACCCUCUCCCGUACUCGAGUCAAUCAGUAUCAUCUGACCUGCCCAGGUUAAGCCCAGGGAUUUCACAGAUAACUUAAUUAACCACCUACGCACUCUUUACGCCCAGUAAUUCCGAUUAACGCUUGCACCCUCCGUAUUACCGCGGCUGCUGGCAC